GCGGUGGUAGUUCAGCGGUAGAAUGCUUCCUUGCCAAGGAAGAGGUCGCCGGUUCAAAUCCGGUCCACCGCU
rnacentral:tRNA from 1 species